rnacentral:miRNA from 1 species
ACUGCAGUGUGAGCACUUCUGG